rnacentral:rRNA from 1 species
UUCCAAAAACAUCGCCUUCUGAUAAACAUAGAAGGUCCAGCCUGCCCAGUGACUAAGUUAAACGGCCGCGGUACCCUAACCGUGCAAAGGUAGCGCAAUCACUUGUUCUUUAAAUGAGGACUAGUAUGAACGGCAUCACGAGGGUUAUACUGUCUCCCUAUUCCACUCAGUGAAACUGAUCUUCCCGUGAAGAAGCGGGAAUGAAUAUAUAAGACGAGAAGACCCCAUGGAGCUUUAAACUCAGUAUCAUCUGCCCCCACAAGAUCAUUUCAACUACGCAGAUAUGACAACUAGUUUUCGGUUGGGGUGACCGCGGAGUAAAACAAAACCUCCACAACGAAAGGAACUAACAACCUAAUCCAAGAGUAACAUCUCUAAGAAUCAACAAAUUGACUCAAUUGAUCCAAUUACUUGAUCAACGAACCAAGUUACCCUGGGGAUAACAGCGCAAUCCAUUUUAAGAGCCCAUAUCGACAAAUGGGUUUACGACCUCGAUGUUGGAUCAGGGUAUCCAAGUGGCGCAGCAGCUACUAACGG